UAUCUAGCUAACUAGCACUCUGUUACUCUGUGUCUAGCUCAAGGAUUGUAAACGCACCAAUCAGCACUCUGUCAAAACGGACCAAUCAGCUCUCUGUAAAAUAGACCAAUCAGCUCUCUGUAAAAUGGACCAAUCCGCAGGAUGUGGGUGGGGGCCAGAUAAGGGAAUAAAAGCUGGCAGCCCGAGCUAGUCAGCGGCAAUCAGUUACAAUCUCGGUCUGUACGGUGGUAGGUGUUGUUCUUUAGCUUUUUGCUGCUGCUCACUGUUUUGGGUCCAUGCUGCAUUUAUGAGCUGUCACACUUCCCACGAAGGUCUGCAGCCUCACUGCUGAAGCAAGUAAGCCCACGAAGCCACUGGGAAAAAUGAACAAGUCCAGAUGUGCUGCCUUUAAGAGCUGUAAUACCAGGAAGGUCUGCAGGUUCACUCCUGACAGUGAGACCACGAACCCACCAGAAGGAAGAAGUUCCAAACACAGCUGAACGUCUGAAGGAACAAAGUCCGGACACACCAUCUUUAAGAACUGUAACACCGUGAGGGUUGGUGGCUUCAUUCUUGAAGUCAGUGAGACCAACAACCCAGCAAUUCCGGACGCACUAUGGCUCUGCAACUGAGAAUGCUUAUGCAAAUAAGACUCAGGAAGCACGUGAGCCUACAGCUGAACUUCACUGUAGAAAGUUGUAAGAAAGGCCAAGAACUGAAGCAGAAGAGCAAGCAAGAAAGAAAAUUCUCUGCAGGCUCUGUCUUGUACUGGAGUUGCUACCUUUAGCCCACUGGAUCACUGUGCUUGAAAUUCCCACAUUAUUCAUUCUGCAAAGUUAAGACAUAAAGUAAGAUCCUGACAAAAGAGCCUUUCCUUUGACCAGGUAAUUCCAGUUUCUGAAGUUCACAUUUUAAAAAUAACCUAAGAGAAAUAAAAAGCUAGAAGCACAGUGGUGCUCACUGAGAUAUUACCUCUAAUAACAGAGAGAGGAAAAUAAUAAAAAAUAGCCAAUAUGAGGAG
rnacentral:lncRNA from 1 species